CCCAUCUGGGCUACUAUAACCACAUGGACCAUCCCUUGCUUCAAUCAUAGAAUUCUUUCUUCAGAUCAAAGUAUAUUCAGACACUCGAUACAGUAACAAAAGCAAGCUAUCCUGGAAGGAAGAAGGAAUCAGGAGGCAGAGCACAUGGUUAAAGCAUGAGAUGUGAAACCAGGAAGAACCAGGUCUGAACCUUAGCUCCACCAGUGGUAGCUUCAAACCUUGGUCCUUUCUGAGCCUGCUUCUUCAACCGUAAGAGCAAGGCCAAAAGCAGCUUCAAUUAUGGUACAACUGUGUGAAGACACAAUGCAAAACCACUCAAGAAUGCUCACUCAAAUGGAUUUUUACCAUGGAACUCGGAAACGGGACCCAGAAAGUUGUUUUCUCAAGUGGAUGGAACAACACAAGCAAUCAGUAUCCUGAAACAGGCCCUGUUCCAACAAACUGACCCAGAAAGGUCUGGUUAGGAGGACAGGACCCUCACUAUACACUAUCACAUUUAAACUAAAAGGAUAUUAUGAAUUAUGUACACAUAUCAAGCUGAGAGGAAAGGAAAUCCUAUCAUCUUGCAGGCUUCCUAAUGAUCUUACUUAAAACUGAGUUACUGCAACAAUAA
rnacentral:lncRNA from 1 species